GUAACAUAAGACCCUUCUUCACUCAUGCUUGUCAUUUGCUCGUGAAUAUCGUCCAGUCAAGUCUUUGUUCUUUUAUUCUUAAAUAUGGGUGCUAACUAGAUUCCCUAUGUUAUAUGCGAGGUCAAUAAAAUUCUCCAGAGAGUGAGUUUCUGAUCAUAAUGACCACCUAAAGUUGGAUUUCCAGUUGUAGUUUUUAGUUUGGGGUGCCAAUAGUAGCAUAGUUGCUUAGUCGUCCUUCCUCUUACGUAUUACAAUUUAGGUGCUUUUCAUGCUGCCUUUAGCGGAAAACGGACUUAAUGGACAAAUAAGGGAUAGGCAAGAAUCUGUUCUUGAACUCUAGA
rnacentral:lncRNA from 1 species